rnacentral:lncRNA from 1 species
UCAGGAUUCAGCUUAGGAGAGUAUUUCUUUUACCCUUAAUAUCAUAGUGGAGUUGGGAAAGAAUCAACAUAAGCUUAUUUUCCUGCCUUAUUACCAUAUUUACUGUUUUUUAGGGGUUGUUCUUCUGUCCAGCUCAUUAAGGUAAAACUCUACCUAUUAUGUGUAUAUUCUACCUCCAACCAUUUCCCUUCAUUUUUAGCAGUGUGCUCCCUCCAUAAAUUACAUUCUGCCUCAAAUCUAGUAGCUCCCAAGGUGAGCUACAAGAUACCUCACCUAAAUAACUAUGUAAGUGGUGCAAAGAAACUGGUAUUUACCUUUUUGGGGGGUUGGUUUUUUUGUUUGCUUUUUGGCUUUUUAGGGCCCCACCUGUGGCACAUAGAAGUCCCCAGUCUAGGGGUCGAAUCAGAGCCUGUGCAACAGCUCGCAGUAAUGCCAGAUCCCCUACCCGCUGAGUGAGGCCAGGGAUGGAACCUGGAUCCUCAUGGGUACUAGCCUGAUUGUUUCUGCUGCGUGCCACAGGGAACUCUUUAUCUUUUUUUUUUUUUUUUUUUUUUUUUUUUUUCUUUCCUUUGAACCUGUUUCGGAUGGUUAUGGGACAGCUGUUAAGGUGCCUAAAUAGUAAUUUUGUUCCAGUCUGAGUCAAGUAGUGAUCAGAGGUGCUAAGAGUACUGAAAAGUUUGUUACUCUGUUACCCCUUGUUCCUCAUUUUUUUCAGUUCUCCCCAGCUGCAGAAAGUAAGGAACGCUAGAGGUAGCAGAUAGGAAAUGUCUUGUUUGCAUUCUGGAUUUCUCAACUACUUUACAUACUUUGAAUAUUCCAGGUAUCUGUCUUCUUCAGGAAGCCAGAUAUAUGCAGUACUGUCUACUACCCUUGCCAUCCCCAUUAGCUGUCACUUUGCAGUGUGUGUUUUACACUUAACAGUAGUUUUUCGAUCUGUAGAAUCUGUUCAGUCAUCAUUCUAUCACAUCUGCAUUUCUCCAUCUUUCCCCUAAAUUGUAAGCUCCUGAAGUGCAAGGUCAGCAAAUAAAGCUCUGUAAACCCCUUGAAAGUGCCAUCAAGUUCUCUAGGCACUCAGUAAUAAAAGUUUGUGAUUAUAAUGAUACAACCUCUGAGAUGAACUGAUACAGUGACUGCUUCUAAAAUUUACUUCAGUUUGGCAUUUUUCAGUUUCCCUCCUUGCAUCUGGUUUAGAAUGCUUUCUGUAGGAAGGAAUGAUACUUCAUUCCUCGCCAGAUGAAUGUCUCUAUUUCCUUUUCUUCGCCUUUGAUAUUUACCCAAUGUCAGAUCUGAUAUCCGACUCAGGAUAUAAAAUGGAUCCUCAUGUGUCUUUCAAAUACAAGUUUUGCCUGCUAAAAACUAGGAGUAAUUAAUUAACUGAUGCAGUUAAUUUUUUGAAAUGUCAUUUAUUGAAAUAGCUUUGCAUCAUAAUAGUGUUUUUGCAAAGAAAGUAUCCAAACCACAAAGGUAAGUGUUGUUCUAUAGUAUGACAUUACUAGAAUGCUUUUUGAUUUUUGAUAUUGCAGUGUUCUUUGGUUAGAAUAAUUACGUAAGCUUUUUUCUGCCUGAAUAGCAGUUAUACAAAAUUUUAGUUGCUAGACAUAAUUAGAAACAAGCACAAGGAACUUUCUCAGUUUUAUCUAGUCCCGAUCUAAACAGUUCUGAUAAUUGCCAUGGUGUUUACUCAUUCUUUUGCCAUUAAGUAUUGCAGAGGCCUUAGGAGCAAAUUCAUAUAGUGGCCUCUUUGGUAGAUUAUCUGGCUUCAAGACCUAGCUCUGCCAUGUACCUCCUGUGAGACCUUCUAAAGUUACUUUACAUGCUUCUGGUUCUUCAUCUGAAAAAUGGAAAAUAUAGUAAUACCUACCCCAGUGGGUUAUUUUAUGACUUAAAUGAGUUAAUUAAUGUAAAGCACUCAGAAUAAUCCUAGGUAAAUAAUAAGCACAGCAGCUAGGAGGAAUUCUCUUUAACUCUUGCUGCAAAUAAAAGCAGAAGCUUUAUUCAUUUUACAUUUGACAAAUACCUGAGAGCCCAUAUUGGGCUAGGCAGUAAAUCAGGAGUUAAGGAUACAAAGACAAUUAAAAUGUAUAGUUGUUCUCAGUUUACUGGGGGAUAGACAGUCAUAAGUGGAUAAAUAAAACCUUUGGUAAACCCGAUUGGGCACUGUAUCAGAGCAUUUGAUGGUGCAUAUAAAAAAAAUUUAGACAUUAUCUCUAAAUCCAUUGUCUCCAACUUAAGACUUUCUUUUACUAUUCAGACUGAUUUUUUUCCAAACCCCAACGCUCUUUUCUCCCUCAUUCUUAGUAGAUUACCUUUCCUAUUUUAGAGAUGGGGAGGUGGCAAAGAUAAACUGUAUGAGAGAAACUCCCUCAGCUCAUUUCCAGCUUAGAAACAUAUUUUACCCACUCCUUCCUGUUUCAUUAGAGGAUGUAAUUUCCUCACAACUAAGGCAGUCCCUUUGUCUUACUCCUAUCUCCUGCUACUUCUAAGAAAUCUCACACUAUGAAUUAUGGCUUUUCGUUAAGGCAGCUAUUCCCCGUCAGUGUGAUCCUUUAAAUGUUAAAUAAUUAACAUUUAAACAUGCAGCACAUAUUUCCCAAGCUAAAAAUGAAAGUGCAACACUCCCUCCCCUUCUGGCUCCUACCCCAUUCUCUUACCAUCACAGCCAAAGCUCUUGUAAGAAGUUUACUCCAAUUACUCAAGAUUCACAACCCAUUCCAGUCUCUCCUUUGCCCUCAUUACUACAUAAAGCCCUUGAAAAAUCACUAUAUGUCACUAAGUGGGCAAUUUUUGCCUUUAUCUUGAUGCUCAGAAAACAGACGCUUGACCAUACCCUUCUAGAUUUUCAAAUAACAUUUUUUCUGGCCAUUGCUACCUCCUUCCCUCCCUCUCCCCUGUCCCCCAAACUUGUAUCCAGCAUUUUGUCUCCUUUCUAGCACAUCCUUUUCUCUGUCAUUCAGAUGUUUAGGUAUUUAGUUCUCAACUCAAGAAUUAAAGUCCCUUUAAUAUAUGCAGAGGUAGAGUGAUCACACUUCAGUGAUCAUCUAUGGCAUGCACCGAUCCCCAACUUAAUAUCACCUUUCUCUUAAAAUCUUCAUACUAUUCCUUUUAAAUUUCCACUUAGAUGCCUGAAAGGCAAUCAUACAACUCAAACUUGUCACAAGUAAUAAGCCCAUGAUCUUCCUCUCCUACCCUCAAUCAUGUCGUAUCUCAGUAUCAGUUCCCCUGAGAUCUCCGAAAUGGCUCGAGCAUCCUUUCACUUAUCUCCAUUUCUUCCUCCUCAGCCCAACCAUCAUCUCAUUUUUUGAACCAUUGCAAAAGUCUAUUAAAAUGGUCUCUCAGUCACCUGGCUCCCUUUCAUUCUGAUCUCCACCUUAAAGCCAAAGUUUUUUCUAAAAAUCAAAUCUGAGUGUGCCGGUGUUGAUGCUUAGAACUUCACAUCUUCUCACUGCUCUUAAAAACCAACAUCCUCUUUUAAAUUAUUGGAGAUUUUAAUCAUGUGCAAAAGUAGAGUUAAAUAAUCCUGAUACACCCAUCACCCAAUUUCAACCAUCAACACAUGGUCAAUCUUGUUUCAUCCUUGGCCCGCCUGCUUUUCUUCUCUCCCUUGGAUUGUUUUGAAGCAAAUACAUAUCUCUAAAAAAUCAAAAUCUUUUCCCAAUAUAACCACAACAUUACUGUCACAUCUUUUAAAACUUAACAAUUCCUUGGACAUUCCCUUGUGUCACAGAUGGCAACUAUGGUGCAGGUUUGAUCCCUGGCCCAGGAACUUUCAUAUGUGGCAGGUGUGGGGGAAAAAAAAAAUUCUUAAUAGCAAGCAAGUAUCUAGUUCAUGUUUAAGUGUCCUUGACUUAGUCGAAAUCAGUACAAUGGACAUAGCCUUUCAUUUCUGGCCCCUACCCACUUCUUUAGCCAUUUUUCACAAACACCACUCUUCUCUGUGACUGCACUGGUCUUUAAGCUUCUCCUCUCGUAAGGCUUUUGAUUUUGUUUUCUCUGCUAGAAAAUCCUUAUUCCCCUUUGCUCAUCCCUCAAGCUUAAUAAGCAUCACCUGCUUGUACUGCCUGACUUAAAUUCCUUUAUUAAAUACUCAUAGAGUUUCGUUCCUUUUCUUUAGAGCACCCUGAAGUUCCCAAUUAAGAUUCAUACGACACCAGACUGUAGUACAUUGCCUGGAACAUAGAAUACAAGUAUUCUUUGGAUGAAGAACAAAUGGAUUUAUGGGAGCAAAGAGGAUGGGUUCUUAAUCCAGACUUGGGGGAAAAGGAGUUGUUGGGGAAGGCUUCUAGGAGGAAGCAGGACCUCCUGACUGGUUCAAGAGUUAGCCAGAUGAAGUGGGGGCAAGGGCCUUCCCCUGUGAGCAGUGUCAGAGAGGGGAAAAUUGAAUUAUUUUUGGUCUCAAAGUUAACAUCACAGUUGGACAAGCAACACAUAAUAUGCUUUAUUUAGGAGAAGAAACUUAGGAGUUUCAUGUGGGUGAAUGUUGUCAAAUUUGGACUUUUAAAUAAAUCACUCUGUCAACUUUGUUAACAUGGGUUUUGGGAAGAUACGGAUAGGGGCAGGAAGACCAAUUUGGAAGCUCUUCAAGCAGCUGGGCAUGAGAAAAGAGGGUAGUGAAUAGGGCAGUGCACAAUAGAAGUAGAGGAGAGGGAAUGGCCUAAAAAAUAUUUAGAGGUCUGUCCAUUAUUAGUUGUCUUUCAGCUCCAAAUCCACCUUUCUUUGCCCUACUUUAUGACACUGAAGCUGGACCAUGUAAAUGUUUUUCCAUUCAACUAGCACAAUGUUGAGCUUCAUCAAUAGAGAGCACUGAAGUGGCACCACAAGAUUAUUGUUGCAGGAAGACACUUCUGGAUGCCAGUUAUCCAUUUUUAUUAUUCACCACUGGAGCCCAGAGACCUAGGGAACAGUUCCCUUCUGCGCCUUCAGGUCAUCCUCAAUAUGGCAGCUGCUUCAGAGAAGCUCCAUCAGGCCACUUCCGCAUCAGUGUACAUAUGUGAUUAUCAUAUGUAUCAUAAGAUGAAAAUAUGUGUAUAGUUGGAGUUUUAUCCAAAUAACUUUACAAGAAGUGUGCAAGAUAAGGUGAAGAAAACUUUAAAUGCCACUGCAGGGAAUCUCAAAAUAUAUAAACUUUAAAAACUCAACAAUAAGAAAAUAACCCAAUUUAAAAUGAGAAAAAUGUGCAUAGACACCUCAUGAAAAAUACUAUGUAAUGAUGCAACAACAUGAAUUUCAAAUGUGAUAUGCUAAGUGAUAGCCAGAUUCAAAGGCUUCAUAUUGUCUGAUUCCAAGCCUAUGUCAAUCUGAAACAGGAAAACUAAGAAUAAAACACUGAAGGACUAGGUGGGUGAGAGACUUACCAUGAAGAGGCAUGAGAGAAAUUUCAAGAGUGAUGGAAAAGUGCUAUAUCUUGGUUGUGGAGGCAAUUACAUAACUAUUCACUUUUCAAGAUUCACAGAACUUUGUCCACUGAAAAGGAUGAAAUAUAUAUAUAAGAUAUACUUCAGAUUUUUUUUUAAAUGCUAAUGUUUGCUGAGCACAAAUAGAGACUUGAAUAAAAAGUCAUAAAUUUCUUGUAAUUUCCAUCAUGCUCAGUGGGGACAAACCUGACUAUUAUCCAUGAGGGCAUGGAUUCAACCCUUGGCCUCCCUCAGUGGGUUGGGGAUCCGGCAUUACUGUGACCUGUGGUGUAGGUCAUAGAUGGGGCCCUGAUCCCACAUUGCUGUGGCAGUGGUGUAGGCUGGCAGCUGCAAUUCCAUUCAACACCUGGCCUGGGAACUUCCAUAUGCUUCAGGUGCAGCC